rnacentral:misc_RNA from 1 species
GCGGUGACCGGCGAUAGACGCCCGUUCUGACGUGUUCAUCUGCAUUUUUCACAGGACUCGGCGGCCGACGGAAUCUGGCAUCGCAAACAUUGGGAUUGCGUCAUGAUCUGAGACGCCCCUGCCCCCACCUGUUAUCGGCAGUUUGGCAGUAGCGGUGACCGGCGAUAGACGCCCGUUCUGACGUGUUCAUCUGCAUUUUUCACAGGACUCGGCGGCCGACGGAAUCUGGCAUCGCAAACAUUGGGAUUGCGUCAUGA